rnacentral:tRNA from 1 species
UCCCUGGUGGCUCAGAUGGUAAAGCAUCUGCCUGCAAUGCAGGAGACCUGGGUUUGAUUUCUCUGUCAGGAA